AGAGGAUUCUUUCAAGGACAGGAGCUGUAGAUGCAACAUAGUAGUUCCCAAGGCAGCAGGAUUGAGAGAAGAAUUUGAGGACUGGAAGGCAGGACAUGUGGUUGAGUGACUGGAGAAGGGAGCAGAUAAUGGCAAGACUUCAUUCUUUGUCCACAAACAGAAGAGUGUGGAUCGCAGACUAAUCAGCAGGCAGACCAACAAGCUAAAAUUUCUACUAUUACUGCCGACUCAGACCUGGAAGAAGUAGAUUGGGCUGCAAUCACACAAUGGGUGCAUCACCAGUGCGGACACCUAGGCGUACAGGGAACCAUGGCUUGGGGAGUGUAAAGAAGGAUGUUACCCCAGGAUGCAGUUCAGACAA
rnacentral:lncRNA from 10 species